CGCUUCACCGCAGGUGCGUUGUUCGCGUCCUAUCAGUGUGUAGUUUUCGUGACAUGUGUAUGUUGCUACAGCCCCGAAUGUUGUUCUGCGGUUCUUCAAUGUAACUGUGCCAUGCUCCAAGUCAGGGCAUUGGUACUGAAUUGAGCCACCGACAUUGAAAUUCUUGCCGGUGAUCGUGGUAUUCAGUUGUUUGUCGGGGCUUCCGCACGAUGAAGGAUCUGUAAAUGGUGGGAUUAAAAUGAAAAAUACUUAAACUGAUCACGAAGUACUUAAAUAUUGACUUGAAGCAAUGAUAUUAAAAUUAUUCUCAUACGGCACGCAUUUUUCAAGGUUUUGAGAAGAAUUAUAAUAAACUUAUUCAUCUGUUUCGCGCAAUUACUAGUGUAAUUGUUAAUGAGAUUAUAAAACAAUUGUAAAAAGAAGUACAAUGAAAUCGUGAUGAAACCAGUGCCACUAGGUAUAAAUCAAGUAAAUAUUAUUCAAUAGAAAUAUCUUCUUUGGUAUUUAUAAGAUUUUACGCAAAUUAUUGUUUAUUGUUUAUUGUUAGUAUCGAUAGAUAAUUCUCACGGGCGAGAAUAACAACAAACCUAUAUUAAUCAGGUGUUGUUUGUCAUUUUAGUUAUUUCUUGUAUUUUGAUUUAUUUCUAAUUCAAUUAAUAUUAUUUGUUUGUAAUUAAACUAAACUAUAUUAUAUUCUACGCAUGAAACACUUAAAAUAGGAAGAAAGCAAUUCCAUUAUUUAAAAUAAUAGAAACACUUAUGACUUA